UACGUACGCAGCGAGCGUUGUUCGGAAUUACUGGGCGUAAAGAGUGUGUAGGCGGUGCUCCCAGUCUGUUGUGAAAUCUCCCGGCUUAACUGGGAGGGUGCAGCGGAAACUAGAGUGCUAGAGUCCGGAAGAGGAGAGUGGAAUUCCCGGUGUGGCGGUGAAAUGCGCAGAUAUCGGGAAGAGCACCCGUGGCGAAGGCGGCUCUCUGGGACGGUACUGACGCUGAGACGCGAAAGCGUGGGGAGCGAACAGG
rnacentral:rRNA from 1 species